GGGUGGUUAGCUCAGUUGGUAGAGCAUCGGCCUUACAAGCCGAGGGUCAUGGGUUCGAGUCCCUCACCACCCACCA
rnacentral:tRNA from 1 species